AUUGAACGCUGGCGGCAUGCCUUACACAUGCAAGUCGAACGGUAACAGGUCUUCGGAUGCUGACGAGUGGCGAACGGGUGAGUAAUACAUCGGAACGUGCCUAGUAGUGGGGGAUAACUACUCGAAAGAGUGGCUAAUACCGCAUGAGGUCUACGGAUGAAAGCAGGGGAUCGCAAGACCUUGUGCUACUAGAGCGGCCGAUGGCAGAUUAGGUAGUUGGUGGGAUAAAAGCUUACCAAGCCGACGAUCUGUAGCUGGUCUGAGAGGACGAUCAGCCACACUGGGACUGAGACACGGCCCAGACUCCUACGGGAGGCAGCAGUGGGGAAUUUUGGACAAUGGGCGCAAGCCUGAUCCAGCAAUGCCGCGUGCAGGAUGAAGGCCUUCGGGUUGUAAACUGCUUUUGUACGGAACGAAAAGCCCCGGGUUAAUACCCUGGGGUCAUGACGGUACCGUAAGAAUAAGCACCGGCUUACUACGUGCCAGCCGCCGCUGUAA
rnacentral:rRNA from 1 species